rnacentral:lncRNA from 1 species
UCUGCUGCUCAGCACAGGGACAGGUUCAGCUGUGCUCUCACCUGCAAGGUCUAGAUUGAUCGAUUGGAGAACCCCGUUUCUUUCCUAGGAUUGAAGCACUCUGUCUUCAAGAGCGAGUGGGGAAUGCAGAGAUAUCCUAGCAGCAAGCCCCACUUUCCAGUAACUGAAGUCAUCUGCAGACACUGAGACCGUCCUUCGGAGGUGGGGCAGCUGAGAACCAUUGAAUACGGGAAGGCGUCUGAAGGCUCGUGGAAGCAGGGAUGCAGAAACACAUCCUCAUCACCUCCCGUCUCGCCUUCUCCCUCAGGAGAGCUAGAAGAGCAGUGGAAGCUGAAAGUGCCCUGGCCAGUGAGAUUCUUUAGCAGCUAAGCAACAGGCUGAAGUAGCUUCUGUGUUGGGCAAGGAGGCUUCUAACCAUCUGAGCCUACCAGUGGAAAAUCAAGCAGACCCGUAAAGCAAGACCUUACAUCCCACAGGCGUGGAGAAUUGGGUUAUGGCACUAAGCAAUGGAUUCCCAUCAGCCAAGGAAAAAAAAUGAUGCUGAUGAAUUUUAAAGUUCAUGUAGUCGGAGAUGUCCUGAUGCCUGCCACAAUGAACUUGACUGAUACAACCCAACAAGCAGAUGCUUGGUGUCUGGCCUGAAGCAUUGUUUAGCGGGAUGAGAGAUUAUAGGGCUCUUUACAAGUGAUCACCUACCAUGUAUGUGGGUAAAGGUUGACUACACAACCACCGUUCUGUAAAAAUGUGUUAAUCACAAGAAACAUACCACAAACCAUCAGAAAGAUUUGGCCUAGAUGUCCU